rnacentral:rRNA from 1 species
AGUGGGGGAUAACGUAGCGAAAGUUACGCUAAUACCGCAUAUGCCCUGAGGGGGAAAGGUGGGGAUCGUAAGACCUAUCGCUUUCGGAGUGGCCGAUAUCAGAUUAGCUAGUUGGUGAGGUAAAGGCUCACCAAGGCGACGAUCUGUAGCUGGUCUGAGAGGACGACCAGCCACACUGGGACUGAGACACGGCCCAGACUCCUACGGGAGGCAGCAGUGGGGAAUUUUGGACAAUGGGGGCAACCCUGAUCCAGCCAUGCCGCGUGAGUGAAGAAGGCCUUCGGGUUGUAAAGCUCUUUCAGACGGAAAGAAAUCCUAUCCACUAAUACUGGGUGGGGAUGACGGUACUGUCAGAAGAAGCACCGGCUAACUACGUGCCAGCAGCCGCGGUAAUACGUAGGGUGCGAGCGUUAAUCGGAAUUACUGGGCGUAAAGCGUGCGCAGGCGGUUUUGUAAGACAGGUGUGAAAUCCCCGGGCUUAACCUGGGAACUGCAUUUGUGACUGCAAGGCUAGAGUAUGGCAGAGGGGGGUAGAAUUCCA